GACGAACGCUGGCGGCGUGCUUAACACAUGCAAGUCGAACGGAGUGGCGAACGGGUGAGUAACACGUGGGUGACCUGCCCUGCACUUCGGGAUAAGCCUGGGAAACUGGGUCUAAUACCGGAUAGUGUGGGAUGGGCCCGCGGCCAAUCCGCUUGUUGGUGGGGUAAUGGCCUACCAAGGCGGCUCCGGGUAGCCGGCCUGAGAGGGUGGACAGCCACAUGGGGACUGAGACACGGCCCAGACUGCUACAGGAGGCAGCAGUGGCGAGUAUUGCACAAUGGGCGGAAGCCUGAUGCAGCGACGCCGCGUGGGGGAUGACGGCCUUCGGGUUGUAAACUCCUUUCACCAUCGACGCGGUAGAUGGAGAAGAAGCACCGGCUAACUACGUGCCAGCAGCCGCGGUAAUUC
rnacentral:rRNA from 1 species